UACGUAGGGUGCAAGCGUUGUCCGGAAUUACUGGGCGUAAAGGGCUCGUAGGCGGCCAACUAAGUCAGACGUGAAAUCCCUCGGCUUAACCGGGGAACUGCGUCUGAUACUGGAUGGCUUGAGUUUGGGAGAGGGAUGCGGAAUUCCAGGUGUAGCGGUGAAAUGCGUAGAUAUCUGGAGGAACACCGGUGGCGAAGGCGGCAUCCUGGACCAAUACUGACACUGAAAAGCGAAAGCCAGGGGAGCAAACGGG
rnacentral:rRNA from 1 species